rnacentral:lncRNA from 1 species
GUAAUUCAAGAGGAAAAGCACAAAAACAAUACUAAGGAUAAAAUAGGUGGAGAAGCUACUGCCCUAUUUUCUAAGAAAAUUGAAAAUCAAGAAAAUAAAGAAGAACCUAGAAAAAAGGGUAUGUAUAGUAAGAAUGGAAAAAAACUAGAUACGAAAUACUACUGUGACAACUGUAAAUUCUUUGGACACACAAGGGAGCAAUGCUUUCACAUAGUAGGAUUUCCAAGUGACAAGAAAAAGUUCAAAAAGAAAGAUGAUUU